GAAAACUUUGCCUUGCUGAGCUCGCUGUUGUCUUCCAGUUCUCACGUUAAUUACACUGUGCAUAAUCACCCCCAAAAGUGAUGUUUAAAGAAAUGUUCUCCACGUAUCUUUUUUUGUUUGUUUGUUUGUCUACAUUUCAGAAUUUUCCCCCAAGAGCAAAGUUGAGGUCCAGAACAUGGACUUGCUCGUAGUUUAGCUGGGACAUUGUUUUAUUAGCAAGGUCCUGGCAACUUGUAUAAAAGAUUUUGAUAUCUUCCCCAAAUUCAUUUUUUUUCAGUUGUCCACAAAUACAAGAAUGUUUGAGCAUGUUUUGCAAGUCAGUACACACUUGGAUAUUUAUUUCAAAGAGCUGACUUCCUUGAUGGAAUAAACUUUGUUAGAACUUUGAAAACCUCUCUUUGAUGAAAUUCCUUAUCAAUACAGUCAGUUCUUGGAAAUUCUAAACUGACCUACAUAAUCUCCCCUACCUGUAGCAUAUUCUCCACAUUGUUUUGCUUUUUGAACAAUUUUGUAGAAAUCCAAAGUCAUUUUAAAUGAAGAGCAAAAUGACUGGCAUAACAGCUUGAAAUUCAAGAAAGGUAAAAUAUGCAUGAAGUCAUCCCAGGCAGUGAGAGUGGAGGAAUUCUCUGAACCUGAAAACUGGCUUAUUAGGCUGAAUUUUGAAGUCUGAUGCUCCACUAAUCCUUGGGGGAGAGGAGGCGGGAAGCAUUCUAGGUUGUACUUGUACCAUAUAAUCAUUUUUUUUGUUGUUGUUGCUACCUUACUUGGAAAUGAGCUUAGUGUAAAUGAUAGCAGGAGUAUACGCUUAAAAAUUUGCUCUUUUCUUAAUUUCUUUAUUGGGGAGUUAAUGUUUUACAUUCGACAGUAAAUACAAUAGUUUGUACAUGCAUAACAUUUCCCAGUUUUCCAUAUAACAGUACAACUCCCACUAGGUCCUCUGUCAUCCUUUUUGGACCUGUAUUUUCCCCACCCCCACCCCCUCCCCAGAGUCUUUUACUUUGGUGCAACACGCCAACUCCAGUUCAGGUUCUACUUGUGUUUUCUCAUCUGAUCUUGCUUUUCAACUUCUGCCAGAAUGUGAUAUCAUCCCAUAUUCAUCCUUCUGUUUCUGACUUAUUCCACUUAACAUGAAUUUUUCAAGGUCCAUCCAAGAUUGGCUGAAAACAGUGAAGUCACCAUUUUUUAUAUAGCUGAGUAGUAUUCCAUUGUGUGUAUAUACCACAACUUGCUCAGCCACUCAUCUGUUGUUGGACACCUGGGUUGUUUCCAGGUUUUUAGCUAUGACAAAUUGUGCUGCUAAGAACAUGUGCAUACACAGAUCUUUUAAAAAAAAAAAAAAAACUCUUUAGCUCCUCCUGGUGAUUAGGAAACCACUAAACAACACAAUGAGGAAUCUGUCCACAUUGCCCAAGAGGUGAUGUGUUCAACAUUAUAGCCUAGAUCAUUUCCAGAAUAGGCAAGUAUUUGCAGAUUAACAGGAGUAAAUGGGAUGUAAAGCCCAAGGCAUCUGAAACAAAUUACUCAGGGUGGGUACACUUUUAAGAAGUUUAACAGCAGAUGCCUGAUUUUGUGGAGCAGGACUGUGACUAGCUUCCUGGAAGGAUGAAAGGUUCUCAUGGAAGCAAAAAGUUCAAAAGCUUCCUUGUUCUCAGUCUCAGGAUUGGGAGAAGGAGGGACAGUGAAGUAGAGGGAGAUGGGCACUGGUGGCUGUGAUGAAAACUACUGGCUUAUGAUAGCUAAACACGCUUAGCCUCAUAAUCCCAACAAGCUUUCCCACUAAGUGGAUCUAAGAACAUGAGAGUAGAUCAGCUAAGAAUGUGACUUCUGAACACAGAUAGGAAGUGCCCUACAACUGCAAACUGUUUUAAGAUAGAUACCUAAGGAAAUAGAUGUAUUUAGAGACCUUUAUCCUGGGCCUUCUUUGGCAAAUUUGCACACAAUGAGAAUUCAGGUGAACUGAACUUAAGACCGUGGCAUGAGAAUGUCCCCUUACAGGUAGAUCAUGCCCCUUUACGCCCACGCCUAGAUUGCUUUGAUGAAGGACAGAGUGAUGGGGACAUCGUGUUUCAGUUGUUCAAAUAAUGUACUGAAAAGGGGGAAAAUGUGCAUACUACUAUGUGUGAAGACUCAUGCUCAAGCCCCUGGUACCCACCUGCAGAGGGGAAGCUUCACUGAGUAGUGAAGGAGUACUGCAACUGGUUCUCCUCUCUGUCUUUCCUUCACUAACUUGUCCCCUAUAUUUAAAACAAAACAAACAAAAAAAAGUGGCUGGGAAUGGUGGAACCACUUAGCAUGGAACCCCAUACUGAGAAAAGAAAAAACAACAACAAAACUCCUCCUGAACUGGAAGGAGGACUAUGAGUUUCCUCUGAUGGGAAAUUUCCUCAGAAAUAUCCCUGAGAAGGGAGGUAUCUGUUGCCUCUAAGGUUUGUCUGUUUGGUUUUUUGCCUCCAGGGUUAUUGCUGGGGCUCAAUGCAAGCACUACACAUCCACUGCUCCUGGUGGCCAUUUUUUCCAUUUUAUUGAGUAGAACAGAAAUUGAGAGAGAGGAGAGGGAGAAAGAGAGGUAGGCACUUGCAGACCUGCUUCACCGCUUGUAAAGCAUUGCCCCUGCAGGUGGGGAGCUGGAGGUUUGAACCCAGAUCCUCGCGUGGGUCCUUGUGCUUAGUACUAUGUGCACUUAACCAGGUGCGUCACCAGGUGUGCCACCACCUGUCCCCCUCGAAGUAGGCCCCUUACCUGGCCACCCAGAUACAUCCUUAUCUAUAUUUCUCUGUAGGCAGGCAACAACCCUUUGACAACCUACAGCAGGUCCACUGUCCCACAGCCAGUGUCUAUUCUCUUGUAUUCAAAUCCAUUCGCUGUUCGCUAUCUUGUGAUCAUUAAAGAAUGUCUGUCCUAUUUGUCACAUGAACAUAUUAAGACAAUUUCUGGGAGUCAGGUGGUAGUGCAGCGGGUUAAGCGCAUGUGGCACAAAGUGCAAGGACUGGUUAGGAUCCCGGUUCAAGCCUCCGGCUCCCCACCUGCAGGGAAGUUGCUUCACAGGCGGUGAAGCAGGUCUGCAGGCAUUUCUCAGUCUCUCUUCUUCUCCUCUGUCUCCCCCUUCUCUCUCAAUUUCUCUCUGUCUCUAUCCAAUAACAAAUAAAUAAAUUUAAAAAAAGACAAUUUCUAGAAAUCCACAGGCUAUCGUCUUAUUUUUAAACUGGGGGGUUUAGAAUGUGAUCUAAUCCGAAACAGGCUGGGAGUAUGGAUUGACCUGCCAAUGCUCAUGUCCAUUGGAGAAGCAAUUACAGAAGCCAGACCUUCCACCUUCUGCACCCCAUAAUGACCCUGGGUCCAUACUCCUAGAAGGAUAAAUAAUAGGAAAGCUAUCGGGAGGGGAGGGGAUACUGAGUUCUGAUAGUGGGAACUGCGUGAAAUUGCACCCCUCUUAUCCCACAGACUUGUUCAUUAUUAAAAAAAAAAAAAAUCUAAUGUGGUAGAAGUUGCAUGACCACCACAGGAGAUGUCCCCAUAGCCAUCAACAUGUGACUUAUGCUGGUAUUUUGUUUGACUUAAUGAGAUAUUGGAUGUUUAGGCGGAAACCUCCUGGAAUGCUGCUUCUUUCUUUUGCUUUUAUACUGUCUUUCAUUUCCACACUUCAUAUCUUUUCCCCAAGUAUCCUCACUAUUUCUUCGGAUUCUUUCCCAUGCCAAACUUUCACAUUCUCUGAUUUCCUGUCUUCUACCUAUCUGAGCCAUGGACCAAUACGUUGUGAGUAUUUAAAAAUUUUCACUUUAUUUUCAUCCUCAGAGGCACAAUUCCCCAGAUUCUGCUAUGUGGUUCCAUCAGCAGGAGUUCCAUUAGCAGGCUUGAUGUUACUCUUUAAAAACUAGUUUUUGUGGGAAAUCGAGUAAUAAAAUAUGGUCAAAUAACACCCCCAUAGAAGCAAAGCUUUAAAGUAUGAGAAGCUGAAAUGUUUUCUAUUAAACAGUUCUUGCUCAAGCAAAGAAAGAAAUUAAAUCUCUACGUUAGCUACAUGAUUUCCCUAGACAAAAGCGGCUGGUGGUCUGAAGGAAUUUCAAAGCAUUGAAAAAAAGAAGGGAGUCGGGCGGUAGUGCAGUGGGUUAAGCGCACUUGGCUCAAAGAGCCAGGACUGGCUUAAGGAUCCCGGUUCAAGCCCCAGCUCCCCACCUGCAGGGGAUUCGCUUCACAGGCGGUGAAGCAGGUCUGCAGGAGUUUAUCGUUCUCUCCCCCUCUCUGUCUUCCCCUCCUCUCUCCAUUUCUCUCUGUCCUAUCCAUCAAUGACAACAACAAUAAUAACAAUAACAACUACAACAAUAAAAAGAAGAAAAAAAAAGGAAAGACCAGAAGAGGUGAUUCUGCAAAAACAGGGAGAAAAUGCUGUAAGUGCCCCAUUACAAAAAAAAAAAAAACACGCUUUAAAUUCAUCCCUCACAGAUAGUACAUGUUUCAGUUAGCAUUUUCACUCAGAUUAAGUAAUAUAUGUAAGUGAAUGUGCCAAAAGAAAGGCAAUUUCCAAAAAAUAAAUAAAUAAUUAAUUAAAGGUGGGAAAGAAGCAAGGGAAACUACUAAAAAAAGGUCAGGACUUCAGAAGAAGUGAGUUGCAUUCUUAGCAGAACCUCAAGCAAUGGGGCAAGUAUUGUAGCAACAGGUAGUCAGCAACUGGGACAUAGCAGGGUUAAAAGUGUGAAAUAGAAAAUUGUGAAAUGUGUCCUAGCAAACAUUACUUUACUAAGAGUAAGAUGCAGAAGGCUUUGCAGCUGCAGUCACCAAGGCCAAUCUUAAGCCAAGCAUUCUGUGAAAACAUGCAUGGGGUAAUAGCACCGAACAGCUGUGUCUACAAUGCACGUGGCUGGGUUCUGGAAAUACCUUACCCAUACUCAGUAAAGGUUCGUUUCUGAAUGCUACUCCCUCAUCUGAGAUCUGACAGAGUCAAACCAGAUCAUCCACAGCACCGCUUGUGGCAUUUUGAAAGGAUGAUACUCCAGUUGAAGCUUCAUGUAUGUAAGUGCAGAAAAGGGUCUGCAACUUUGGCAUUGACAGAGGAGCAGCCCCAGGUAAAUUCUGGCUCACCCAUUACUUUCUCUUUGCCUAACUGUAGUGGGCCCAAGAGGAAAUUACACAGUUGAAAUGCACAUUGACAGAUUUAGAGACAAACGUUGUCUUCUGCAGGUGUGGUUUGUUUCAGCAAGAUUAGAAUGAACACUAUCAGUUUGGUAAAUGCACAGGAAGCCCGGAAGUUGGGUGCUUGACCACACUUCUGGUCUUCUGAGAAACUUCCAGUUUACUAAACUGAGAAACUCAGUUGAAAUACACAAGAUUUCAGUUUAGCUCCAUGCCGUGUGCAGAUCUUCUCAGGGUUUUCCACGUGGGCAUACUGUCAGGAUAGCAGAGAAACAUGCUCUCAGCAGCGGCUACCUGGGAGAACAUGGAAUGGAGCUCAGUGAUGAGAAGCAGGCUAUGGUGUGUUCACAUCCAUCGCCCAUGAGCUAUGUGACUCCUACAGGUUAUUUUCUCCAGUUACCUUUUGCAUCUGUUUUUCUUUCUAGUAACCAUGGUGUCAGCCUGAGGAUACAACGAGUUAAGACCUAUGAACUACUUAAUAGAAUGUCCACCAUGAGGGUGGACACUGAAUUUCUUUUCACUGAACUUCCUUCAGAAUGUUCUAGCGGAGUGGACCCCUCUACACUGUAGGAAUUUGAAGGCAAAGAGAACACUUCAGGAUUACCAAAGAUCACCAAUCCAAUUACAAUGGGUUCCUAAACAGCUCUUUGUUCUUUCAUUUGAAGAGAUGACUACAAAAUUGUUUUCCACUUCCUUCAGAACUGCUAUUUCAUUACCUCCUGCUCAGAUGCAAGGAAUGACCCCAAGCUCUGCAAUCUCUUAGAGAAAAAGAUAGACUCCUUCCAUCUUCUAUCAC